CACACAGGGGCCAUUGUGACAUACAUCCAGGCCAAUUGCCUAGGUGAAGUUUGUCUCCUUUCCUGCCUAAGCCCUGCCCACAGGGAAGAUUUAGAUAUAUCACUAAAACCAGCACCCAAGUGAUGUGACUUUUCACCAGAGUCCUGCCCACAAGGAGGAUUGUGACAUUUCACUGGACCAGCACCCACUCAGGAAUCAAAUCCGAGUUCGUCUACAGCUGAUUCGGCAGGUACCAGGGCGUCCGCGAUGGUGGUAUUGCUCCAUAUGCCUGAGACCCUAACAAAAGCCUAAUUACAACUCAUAUGCCUGGAGCCAGGACAUGUGCAAGAUGGUGAUGUAACUUUCCUCUCUGGAAUGGGUCCUGCACAAAGGAAUGAUAGUAACAUAUUGCAAAGCCAGACACACAGCCAUGAUGGUCCAAGUUAUAUUGGGAUUCAGCCAAUAGAAGAUAUUUUGCCUGUCAUCCCUAAGCUUAGGGCAAUAGACUCUGCCAAGAGAGGGGAUUAUUACAUAUUGCAGAGCCCAGCACCUAGGUGGAGUGACUCUCAUCUUUUUCUUCUACCCCGUAUAUAGCC
rnacentral:lncRNA from 1 species